rnacentral:lncRNA from 13 species
AUGCACUUCUAUUCACAAAAGUGGUUGCCACAAGUGCAACAUCACCACACAAAGACACACACAGGUGAUCUGUCCCUUGCCAAGGCUGCCAGGAUCGUUCUUCAGGCUGGGCUCCCACAUGCACGCACUCACACACACACACACAUACACACGGACCGGCUUCGCCUCUGUGAGUGCCCGAAGACCCACACCCCACAUGCUGCUGUGCAGCUCCCACUCCUACAUCCCGGCCUCCAGCGCACCAGGAGCUCCGUCCCCUCUACAGAGUGUAGACAGCAAUGCGCACAAGCAGGCAGUUCACACAGACAGACAGAACAGACACAUGGCUUCAUUUUCAGAGCAAUAGCUUCUUUCUCUCUCCUGCUUUCACUGUCAAAUACCCAGCAGGAAACCUCUGCAUGGUGCCGGCCACACUUCCCUCCGUCCCCCACGCGCGGGUGCCGGCCACACUUCCCUCCGUCCCCCACGCGCGGGUGCCGGCCACACUUCCCUCCGUCCCCCACGCGCGGGUGCCGGCCACACUUCCCUCCGUCCCCCACGCGCGGGUGCCGGCCUCACUUCCCUCCGUCCCCCAUGCGCGGGUGCCGGCCUCACUUCCCUCCGUCCCCCAUGCGCGGGUGCCGGCCUCACUUCCCUCCGUCCCCCAUGCGCGGGUGCUGGCCUCACUUCCCUCCAUUCCUUACACACGCAGACACUCACAACGCACACGAGUGCACAUAUGUACGCGCACACACCAGGCGGUCACUGCCUCCAAAAAUAAAAUCAUGCCCUACAGACUUCUCAGCGUCUUCCUUUCCUCAUACGAUCCCAUCUCUCGGAGGCGCCCAGCACGAGGCCGCGCCAACAUUUAGCCAACCAUUCUCCUACUCAUGGGCACAGACUUUCCUCCAAACGUCUGCAAGGGACUGCCGGGUGCGAACCACCUCAGGUCCUGGGGUCUGGGCCCUGGGAACACAGCCCUGGGAGGGAGGAAGAGUGAAAUAUCUCCUAUUUAUCACAUCAGAACAGUGA